UACGUAGGGGGCUAGCGUUGUCCGGAUUUAUUGGGCGUAAAGAGCGUGUAGGCGGCCAAGCAAGUCCGACGUGAAAUCUGGAGGCUUAACCUCCAGCGGUCGUUGGAAACUGUUUGGCUAGAGUCCGGAAGAGGAGAGUGGAAUUCCUGGUGUAGCGGUGAAAUGCGCAGAUAUCAGGAAGAACACCUAUGGCGAAAGCAGCUCUCUAGGACGGUACUGACGCUGAGACGCGAAAGCGUGGGGAGCGAACAGG
rnacentral:rRNA from 1 species